UACGUAGGGAGCAAGCGUUGUUCGGAUUUACUGGGCGUAAAGGGCGCGUAGGCGGCGCGGUAAGUCACUUGUGAAAUCUCUGAGCUUAACUCAGAACGGCCAAGUGAUACUGCAGUGCUAGAGUGCAGAAGGGGCAAUCGGAAUUCUUGGUGUAGCGGUGAAAUGCGCAGAUAUCAGGAGGAACACCGGUGGCGAAGGCGGAUCUCUGGGCCUUACCUGACGCUCAGGCACGAAAGCUAGGGGAGCGAACAGG
rnacentral:rRNA from 1 species